ensembl:Y_RNA Y_RNA Y RNA
CGCUGGUCCAAGGGCAGUGGUGUUUACAACUAAUUGAUCACAGCCAGUUACAGAUUUCUUUGUUCCUUUUCCAUUCCCACUGCUUCACCUGACUAGCCUAAA